GGGACUGUUUGAAAAGGUGGAGGAGGGGACUGUUUGAAAAGGUGGAGGAGGGGACUGUUUGAAAAGGUGGAGGAGGGGACUGUUUGAAAAGGUGGAGGAGGGGACUGUUUGAAAAGAUGGAGGAGGACUGUUAGAAAAGGUGGAGGAGGACUGUUUGAAAAGGUGGAGGAGGGGACUGUUUGAAAAGGUGGAGGAGGGGACUGUUUGAAAAGGUGGAGGAGGACUGUUAGAAAAGGUGGAGGAGGACUGUUAGAAAAGGUGGAGGAGGACUGUUAGAAAAGGUGGAGGAGGGGACUGUUUGAAAAGGUGGAGGAGGACUGUUAGAAAAGGUGGAGGAGAGGACUGUUAGAAAAGGUGGAGGAGGACUGUUUGAAAAGGUGGAGGAGGGGACUGUUUGAAAAGGUGGAGGAGGAGACUGUUUGAAAAGGUGGAGGAGAGGACUGUUUGAAAAGGUGGAGGAGGACUGUUUGAAAAGGUGGAGGAGGGGACUGUUUGAAAAGGUGGAGGAGGACUGUUUGAAAAGGUGGAGGAGGGGGG